CAUGCUCAUGGCUGAUGAGCCAUCAUCUUUCCAGCCUGACUUUGAAGUUUUGAUUCUCCUGUCUCUACUUCCCAAGUGCUGAGAUUACAGGCUCAAGCCACCACUGGAAGUGCCAGCUAACCCAGUGGACCAGUGGCCGCCACUUCAGUGCUCCGUCAACACACUGCUGAUCUGAAAGAGGAGCAUCCGUCCUGGAAGCGUGGCCAGAUUUGCUCACUGGUGAUGGACCUUGAUGACUGGACCAUCUUCAACCAGGCUGGGAAGAGCCUGGGUUAGCAGGCUGCACCCUAGACCCUGCUCUGCAAGUGCGGCAUCAGCAAUGCUGGCCCCCUCCUCCCUGCAUGUCCCCAGAUCCUUACUCCUCGCACUCCCCCCUCUUCCUUUCUUCUCUCUCUUUCCCUCCCCCAGUCUCCUAGGCAUCACCAUGGCAUCACAGCAGAGCAAGAGACUCAGCGAGAUUCACCCACCUCUUCCCUGCUUGCCUGCUUGGGAGCCCAAGCUCUUGCCUGCCUCACAAAAGCUCACUACGCCCUUUCCUUCCCCAUUCUAUCCUGUCUUCUUGCUCACAGAGGUGGUAGCACAGUGUUGUGCGGAGGGUGAGAAGAACGGGGUUCAAGUACCACAUAGAAGGGGACUGCUGGGUCUCCCUUCUAUGGCCAUGAGCAUUCCAGUCUCCUUUUCAGCCCCAUUCUCUCUGACCGUACAUUAGGACAGCUCUGCCUAGACCUUUCUAGACACUUAGGACUUCCCAUUGCUCUUCACGAUCCUCCAAAGCCACAGCCACCAGCCCAGCAGGGAAGCCAAGAAUGGUAGACACCCUCUGUAGCCUUGUUCCAUCAUCCCCUCCUCUGGCAUAUCUUAGCAGUUAUCGUGUUUGCCUACUAGCUGAGAUCUGGGGGUAGUGAUCUCUCCUUAGACAGCUCAUGGAGCAACUGGUUACCCUGGGACAGGAGACUGGCCGGCUGCUGGAGACUGCCUGAGUCCUUCCAGCCAGUGAGAUGGGGGCAUUGGGCCAAUGGGCUGGAGCUGCAGAGAGAUGUGCACUGUAGGGAGAAGGGAACCCCUCUCCACUGGUACUAAGAACCCCUAAGGUGUACAGGUCUUCAUGAUCCAACUGCCCCCUCUCCAGACACCCAUAUUAGAACUGGCAACCGCACGAAACAGAGCCCCUGGCUUCAACUCAUCCUUACUGGAGUCUGAGGGCACACAUGUGUGCAUUAGUGCCCUUGUAUUGCCUGAGACCCUUGUAUUGGCUGCGACCUGCCUCCCAAAAGCCAAAGAUACUAAAAGCACAGGGAGGGCCCUCAGGGUCCCCUGCAUGCCAGAGCCACAUUCUCUGGGUGAUGUGGCUGUCCAUGUGCUUAUUUGUCUCCAAAAAGCAAUGGAGCUCUUUGCCUGGUCUCCUGCUGGAUUCUGGCCCAACACCCACCUUGGCAUUCAGCUUGUCCAUCUGGCCAGCAGCCUCAUUCAAUCCAUCUUGGGGGGCUGAAGGUAGAUCGGGGAGGUGGGAUUCAGGGUGCCCUGAAGGAGGAGAGAAGGAGGUGUCCCCAAAAGUAUGUAUAUGGGGUCGUCCUUCAGUGGGGUGCUGGUGACAAGGGCUGCCUCCUGCCCUUCCCUAUCUGCUCUAGGGUGCUGUCGGAUCUGCUAACUACAUGGCCAUCUAAUCUCUUCUGAACUCUAGUUUGAGUUUCAAAAGAGGGUCUCCAUCUCUUCUGCCAACUGAAGCCCAGAAAAACAUCAGAUGACUCCACUGAAAACCAGCAGGCAGGAUGUUUGGAGGAGCCAAUGCCCACUGCUACAGAGCCCUCUUGGCCUCUAGACCCCUCCCUGGCCACCUCCCCUCUCCAGAGUCCACCCCCAUUUCCAUCUCAUCCUUGUCCCUGCCCUGUCCCAGAGGACUCUGCUGCUUCUGCACCCAGCUCAACACAGCCCCUCCCAAACCUUCCCAAAUGUACUCACCAUGGGACCGGAGAGGGGUCUGUGGGGUCCUCAGCUUCACUGUUUCUCCGGGGGCCUGCAGCGUCUCCUGGGACCCAAACACCUGGCUCCCGGGGGGAGCUGCGCCCUGUGCUGGCAGCGGGAGAGGCACAGCCAGUGAUUGGCAUGUCCCACCCCCUGGCACGCCAGCCUUGGGGGGGAGGGAGGAAGGGAAAGAGAGGGAGGGAGGAUAGGGAGGAAAGAAAGGGAGGGGGAGCAGGAGGGAAGCCUCAGGCAGCAUCUGGGGUUGGACUAAGUCCUGGAGUGUGCCCCCCUUGUCCACAAGGGCAUCCACUUUGAGCCUUCAGAGGGAGGAGGCAGGACAUGAGGAAGGAGAGCCCAGGAAGGCUAAAAGUCCAGGAGGAGAGAGAAGGCGGAUACAGGGAGACAAACACCCACACCCACUGCACACAGACUGGCGGCACACACACACACACACCCUCACAAAGGCACACUCUGUUUCCCCGGCUCCUUCCCCCACCCAACCGGAAAGCCCCCAACCGGAAAGCCCCUAACUCGUGUGCACCAUGUCCCAACACACAUGCCCUGUUAUUCACAUGCCUGCUUUCUUUGCACACAUGCCCUCCCCCCCCCCCCCCCCCCCCCCCCCCCCCCCCGAACAUGCCCACGCGCCCACCCACCCACCCAGCCACACACCCUGCUCUUCCUCCCUGCUGUGAGGGAGCUAGAUUCCUUCUGUUUGAAAAUGACACAUUGGGCCUCACGUGAGAGGUUCCAACUUGGAACAGACCCAGAGGGCUGGCGCACCCGCCCUGGGGCUGAGCGACAUGCCCACAUGCUGGGCAGUGUGCUCUGGUGUCUGCAGAGCCCCGGGGCUGAGGAUAUAUGGGUGUCUGGUUUGUGGCGAGUGGGGGGCUGUGUGUUUAGUGUCCGGCAUGUGUGCAUCCCUGUGUGCUCAUGUCAUCGUGCAGCCUAUGUAAACACAGGUGUGACCCUGCCAGUCGAGCCAGAACGCAUGUGCGUGCGUGUGUGUCUGUACUCAGUGUGUGUCUGAGUGUUGCCCAACUGUGGAAUUGGCUAAUUUUGACAAGCGAGGCAGCAUCUACCUCCUUGCCUGCUCCACCCCCAGCUUCCCCUUGGAAGACAGACAGACAGGCAGACAGACAGCUCUCCUCCCAGCUUGUCAAACUCUGUCUCCCCUGACUCCCACUCUAGGUUCACAGGUGUGUGUGUACCUGGGGACUGUGAGCCGCGCCUCCUCUCCUCAGUCUACAGUUCGGCCAGCAGCCUUCUCCAGUCCGGUUUGGAUUUCUGUGUUGAGUUUCCUCGGAGAUAGGGACCCUCCCCCGCUUCCCGCCCCCCAGGGGGUGCCCUUUGUCAUAGAGACCUGGGUCCAGCAAAACCCCAAGAGAGACCUACCUCCUGGAGGGGUGGGUGACCGUGGGGGAGAAUUGGGAAAGCUACAAACUCCCGUGUUCUUUGCCCGAUGGGCUGUGAUGAAUGAAGCCCUGGGUGGGAGGUGGGAGCGACUGAAACCAAGAUCACCUUUGCUUAGGAGAGAAAUGAGAAAGCUGAAGCGUGGUAGGAGGUGAGCUAUUAUUUGAAGUCAGCUCCUGGGGGCUCUAAGCUCAAGAGUUUUGGAGUCUGGGGCACAGGGUUGGGGUCCCACCCUCCUCCUCCCUCCUCCCUUAUUUUCCCAAUAAGCACCCUACCCCAGUGUUGAGCCUGGAGCCCAGUUGCUUAAGGAGACAGGGAAAGAAGACACUGGCGUCUGUCUCUGGGGCUUGGGCCAGCAACCACAGGUCACAGGUGGCAGGUACAUGCGGGGACAUCAAUACUUUUGAGGAGCCAGGGUAUCAAGAGGCACCCAGUGUGCCUUCUUUCUGUGUUUGCUCAGAUACUGCAGCUGGGGGUCGGGGAUCGGGGUCCGAGCAGCUCCUUCUCCUACCCCCGGGGGCAUUAAACCUUCAGGGGUAGGUCAGAACCCAGAGUCCCUGCGGUGGGCUGCCCCCUGCUGGGCCAUCCUUAGGUUGCGGGCUGCAGGUUGGGAGAACAGUGGGGGUGCGUGUACUUGUGCGUGUACACGUGGUUUCGAGUGGGGGAGUUAGGCCUCCACAUCCAUUUCCGAGUCUGAUUCAAGCUUCCUCUUUGCCCCCUUCCCCCAAUCUUCUUGGUCUCCCUUUUCUCCCACCGCCUCUGCACAUGUCCCUUUAGAAAUAAAAACACUUAUUUUGUGGGCGGGAGGGGAGGGUGUCCAGCUUUCCCCUGCCUCCUCCUGAGUGGCCCCCACCUCUGGCCCACGCAGCUUUCUUGGGUCUGUGCAGCUUCAGAAGAAGGGGGCUAUAGCCUCGUCCCUCCCGUUGUUAUAUCAUGCUUUUUGGCGCUCCUGGCUAGCUUGGCUAGGUCUCCCCUUACCAGUUGGGGAAACUGAGGCACAAGGGAAGACGGGAGGCAGCGCGGGGAGAAGCGCUCCCGCCCGGCUCACUCACCACCCCCGCACUCGAGCCGGAUUUAGCCGCAGGGAGGCUGGGAACAUUGUCUUUAUUUUAAGCCGCCGAGUGCGGCACGAACGCGGCUGCUCCCGACAAAGGGCUUCGCAAAGCGGCUGCAGGCGGCGCACGUGGGGGUCCGGCCCCGCCCCCGCGUGACCCCCCUCUCCAGCUACCCUGACCCUCUUCAGCUUUCCUUUCUCUGUUCAGGUGGGGGCGGGGCCUGCGCAGGACUCCGGGUCUGCGCUCCUGCUGGUUGCUAUUUUUGAUCAGCGUUGGAUGAGUCGGCCCAAUCAUAAACGCUUUUAAGUAGAAAAAAAAAAGAGAGCGAAGUUGUCCUGGGUUCGAAUCCAACUUUAGGUUGGUUCAUUCGAACUGCCCGGCAAAUUAGAGCUUGUCUCUAGGUCUGUUUAAUCAGUGACAUGGGAGUAGAGGGACCUCCCUUGAUGGGGCAGUUACAUCAGCCGGUGGCCCCGACAGCGUCUAAAAGAGAAAGCCAUUAUUGUUAUUUAUAAUAGGCACUGAGCGCCUGCUCCCUCCAGGCGCUGCUAAACGCUUUACCGGAAUCAACCUGUCGCAUACUGCACCGUGUGGUAGGCUUUAUGACUCCCAUUUUACAGAUUCACAGAACGGCACGUGCCUCGGGCAGUGUGGCGGGCGGGUUCUGUGUGCCCGAACAAUCCUGGGGGUGGGAACCGGGUGGCAACUCCCCUGCUGUAGUUUAACGGAAGGAAGGACUAGUCACUUCCUUACAACAUUUUGUUUUUGUGCGCGGUGUGGACGCAUGUGUGUGUAACACAGAGCCCAGGUGGAGGCCAGAGGAUAGACUUGCAGGAGUCGGUUCUCUCCCUCCACCGUGUGGGUCCUGAGGAUUCAAUUCAGCUGUGCCAGGUUGGAGGCUAGCGCCUCCCGUCCUUGAGCCGCCCCUCGGGUCGGGGUAGUUUUUUCAAAGGCCUCCAUGGUGCGGGGAGUGUUCACGUAGAGAACUCGGACCUGCUCUUAAAUCCUCAGCCUCCGCUUUAGUCCAGGACAGAAUCUCAACCCUCGCUAGACCUUUCCCUCUUCAGGGUGCCUCUUCCACCGUGCUAAAGGACGGAGGCCUCGGAAGGGAGGUCCAUUUUUCCUGUUUGUUUUACCCGGCCUGUGAUGUGUGCAUUUUUCCUGUUUUACCCGGCCUGUGAUUUGCAUGUGGUCCUGAGGGCCCUUGCGGAGGAGGGCGGCAGGUCAGAGGCGCCACCACUCAGGGAGGCAGCCAGACGACCCGACAGCCGGCCUUUUCAUUUUUUCGGUUGCCUGAAGUCUUUAGUCUUAAUCUUCCUGGACCUUCCUCUCCAUCCCAACAGACUACUUUCUAGAUUUAAAAGGCAAAGAUACAAUCCAGGGUUCGGCUGCGGAUGGGCCAGGACUGACGCAGCCACGACAGAAUUAUGAGUCAAGAAAUCGAGGUUUUACAGUCUGGUUCUUAAGAAGAACCAACGUAGACACAGUUCUAUUCAACCAAUGUUUCCCCUUCCCGGCCAGUUUAGUCCGGCUCCCAGCAACGGGAUGACCGGCAAGCAGUGCCCGUCUGUCCCUCGCCUUACAGCGGGCAGCCGUCUGGGACCUGGGUCCGGUAGAGCACUCCCUGACCCUACUGGGGCCCCUCGGACCCCCGUUGCAGAGUUUAGGUGGCACUAGGGGUCUGGCCUGGGAUUCGAGCCCUGGGAAUUAAGGUGACCUCAGCCUGAGCCUCAGAACUGUGCUCUCAAAAGGCGUUUCUGAACAACCCCCAUUUCUGCCGACGAAGACAGGACUCAGAGCUCAGGUCACUUGCGGCUGCUUUGGAGUUGACCGCACGCUAGAAGCGCGGUCCAGAUCCAGGGAAGAGGCAGUCGGCCUGCGCCGAGUCUUCUGCUUAACUGUGUAGUCCAAACCAGCUCGGAAACUGAUUAAUAAUCGCUCGGUGACUGGACACAGGGCCUCAAAGCUCCCACCACAGGGUAGGCGCAUCUGGCUCAGAUCUAGCUCCACGUGAAACUGCUGCUUAGGAGCAUGACGGUCUAGAGACCGGAAGUCAUGGUCUUCAAAAAACUCCCUUUGUGUGUGUGUGUGGGUUCCUCUGUUCUACUCCUGCUGUUCCCCCCACUUUCCUCGCGUUUCUCCUAACAAUGCAAUGGGUAGAUUAAAUUCCAUGUGUGGUUUAAAACUCAAAAUGCAAGACAGUGAGGGCUGGGAAGGACCCAAAGGGUCGAAAAGAAUCUUGGUCCUUGCGCAGGCUGAUCAAGUACAUCAGCGAAGGGGGUGGAGUGCUGUGCAGGGUUGGAGAGCCCUUCAUAGGAGCGCUACCGGUUCUCCAUCCAAAUGUCAGGUGCACCCAGAGUGCUUGGGUGGGUGCCUGGGGUUGGAUGUUAGGCAUCCAUUUUCCCACUUCCUUGGAAGGAAAACAGUUAAUAUUUUUCCUUGACGGAGGUGCAUAAGGAGUGGUACAUCACUACUACCGAGAAGAGGCUGGGCAUGUUUCAGCUCCAGGGCUUGAUCAAGAAAGGAAGGGAGCCCUUUCCCCAGGGAGACCACCCAACAGGACACAGCAGCAAGGCAUGAAGAGAGAGGCUCUCCACUGAACACCGGACUUGCAGAUUUCCUCAUCUGUGAAAGGGGAUAAUGACAGUUCCACAUCAUAGGAAUGUUAUGAGAAUUAAGUGAUUCAGACUUGUGGAGUGUUGGGGAAGUGCCUGGCUCUCACCGGCUCCAUUUGGACGUCUAGAAUCAUCUCCGACAUGACUCAUCUCAACCCCCAAACUUGUGCUAUCUGUGGCAUUGUCUCUCUCAGAAGAUGACAACUGGGUCCUCCCAGAAACCCAGGACGGAAUCUCGGAGCAGUCGUCUUGCUUUCUUCUUUCUCUCACACCCAAAUCGAAUUCAUCAGGAAGCCCUGGAGUAUAUUCAGAGUGUGGCCACUGUGGCCUUUCCCGUGUCGCCCCGAGUUAUUGCCUCCACGCCGUCUUCUUGCUUCUAUCCAGACUGAUCCGUGCUCUGAUUUCAACACAGCGUCUAGAAGGUUCCUUUUGAUAUGUGUGAGCUAAGCCAUGUCCUCUGACGCUGCGACAGCCCAUCUUUUCCACUGUGACCUGCGUGGCUCGUGAGCUGCCUCGACUUCCUUCUGACUGCCUUCCCACACCUGCUCCUCUGCUCUGCUUCACUGUGUUUGUUCUCGGAUGUGCCAAACACUUUCCUGCGUGAAGGACUUUCCACUACUGUCCCUUUUGCCAUAGAAAAACGGAUCAGCAAAUCUCUUUCUCUUUAAAAAAAUUAAAUAAUAAAUUUCUGUCCUGUUCUCCCCCCC